GCAGAUGUGGCCGAGGGUCGGAGUAACCGCGUUCUAUCAACGGAUGCGACCGGCCGUGGCAAGGCGCCCGGGGUUAAAGCCGGGAAAUCGCGGGUUCGAUCCCUGCCAUCUGCACCA
rnacentral:tRNA from 1 species